CCCCUCUCAGGGUCCCAUGUGGAGAGUUCCCAAUACUCUACCAGUCUAGACUACAGGAGGGAGAGUCAGGCAGGGGCAUAUCCAUUCCAUUCCUAGCUUGGCCAGUGGCUAGCGAGUGGAAGCCAAUCUGCUCCAAGU
rnacentral:snoRNA from 1 species